GACCGUAAGGAGCGGCCUAGGGCGAAACUGGUAAUUGGGGCUAAGUCGUAACAAGGUAGCCGUACCGGAAGGUGCGGCUGGAACACCUCCUUU
rnacentral:rRNA from 1 species